rnacentral:rRNA from 1 species
UACGGAGGGUGCAAACGUUGCUCGGAAUCAUUGGGCGUAAAGCGCACGUAGGCGGCACGUUAAGUCGGAUGUGAAAUCCCUCGGCUUAACCGAGGACGUGCAUUCGAAACUGGCGAGCUCGAGUAUGGAAGAGGGUCGCGGAAUUCCCGGUGUAGAGGUGAAAUUCGUAGAUAUCGGGAGGAACACCAGUGGCGAAGGCGGCGACCUGGGCCAAUACUGACGCUGAGGUGCGAAAGCGUGGGGAG